rnacentral:tRNA from 1 species
GGGACUUUAGUAUAAUGGUGAAUGCAUAUGACUUUAAUCAUUAAAAUGUAGGUUCGAAUCCUGCAAGUCCUA